rnacentral:lncRNA from 1 species
AUGUAUUCCAUCCCAAGAGUCUUAAUGACCCAGACAUUUUCCGGUUUCUCCCCUAAAACUGUUGCUUGUCACAACAUACCAGAUAUGACAUUAAGAUGGGAACAUGUCAAGCCCAUAGGUCAACCUUCCCCGAGUUGUUGCCCUGCAGAGGAGCUUGACUCCAGCCCCUCGCCCACCAGCAUGAUCCACAGAGGUGAGAAGAGUUUUUGUCCAAUCCAUCUGGAAGGUUCAGCGUUGGGAAAUGUUGCCACAGGUGAAUAUGUCUGGGCAAGGAAUUAUGAAAUCUGCAAGCCAAUGGUUGGUAGUGAUGAAACCCUGCAUUGGGCCCAAAUCCAGGGUAACCUCCAGCUUCUUCCAAAUGUUGAAGUAUGAUUUGUCCUGUUCUUGUCUAUAAAUAGAAAGAAACUGUGACUUCGGCAAAGUCACAAAAUUCAGAAAUGUCAAUCAACAUUUGCCUCAGCUGAUGGACUAAAGUUACCUUACCUGCAUCCCUACUGCAAGUGAGGUAAGAUUUUAUUGAAUCUUCUUUUUCUUGCUUACACAUGCCUCAGUUGUGCUAAGAUAAGACACCAAUUGUACCAUGCAGUAAAUUAUAUUCUUUCCACCAGCCUCCUUCUGUGACUCUGUUUUUCUACCACCACAGAGAUUGGACCAUCCAGAGGCAACAUGUACUUGUUCAGAUUUAAUGCCAGACAUCUCCUGUCCUCAGCUGACAUUUGUUUGCCUCCAAAUAUCCAACAUACUGCUUGAGUUGAGUCAUGGCCCAGAGGAAGUUGUUGUUGUUGUUGUGUGCUCUCAAGUUGAAACUAACCAGCUUCUAGUGAUCCUAACAAGGUUGCAAGUGAAGUGAGAUAUUUAAAGAGUGGUUCUACCAGUUCCACACACCCAGUGAGUUUCUAUGGCUUAUUUGAACCCAGGCCUGCCGAGUCCUAGUCUGUUAUUCUGUCCACACCACACUCAGUGAAAGGGACUUGCCCCAAAAUUUGCUGGGGAAGUGCCCCCCCUUAUGGUCAUCAGCUGCUUGUGGGAGACUGGAGAUCAUCCUCAAAGAAUACAGGCAAUAACUGUCCGGUAUCUUAAGAAGAAGGCAGAGAAGGAGCUAGUUGGAAAACAUCUAUAAUAUUUUCUCAAGUGAAAUGGAUUGCCCACGAAAGAGAGUUUUUGCAGAAAAUGCUGAAUUUAAAACAUACACAUAAACACAGAAACAGAAGAUUUUUGUCAUCAUUUUCUUCAGUACUUACAUGCUUUCAUUUGCAAAUGAUCAUACGUCUGUUUUGUUGAGAUUUCAGGGAAGCGGGUUUUGCUCCACAAUUACCCACCCUGCACACCAUCACUGUGGGAAGAACAGAUGGCCAGAGGCUGUCUGAGGGCA